GAAACCGGAGCUAAUACAGGAUAAUAUUUUGAACCGCAUGGUUCAAAAGUGAAAGACGGUCUUGCUGUCACUUAUAGAUGGAUCCGCGCUGCAUUAGCUAGUUGGUAAGGUAACGGCUUACCAAGGCAACGAUGCAUAGCCGACCUGAGAGGGUGAUCGGCCACACUGGAACUGAGACACGGUCCAG
rnacentral:rRNA from 1 species